GACGGGUGAGUAACGCGUAGGAAUCUGCCUGAUAGUGGGGGAUAGCCCGAAGAAAUUCGGAUUAAUACCGCAUAAUCUAUUCGUAGUAAAGUGAGGGACUUUCGAGCCUCACGCUAUCAGAUGAGCCUGCGUAAGAUUAGCUAGUUGGUAGGGUAAAAGCCUACCAAGGCAACGAUCUUUAGCUGGUCUGAGAGGAUGAUCAGCCACAUCGGGACUGAGACACGGCCCGAACUCCUACGGGAGGCAGCAGUGGGGAAUAUUGGACAAUGGGGGCAACCCUGAUCCAGCAAUACCGCGUGUGUGAAGAAGGCCUGAGGGUUGUAAAGCACUUUCAAUUGUGAAGAAAAGUUAACGGUUAAUAACCGUUAGCCUUGACGUUAACUUAGAAGAAGCACCGG
rnacentral:rRNA from 1 species